rnacentral:misc_RNA from 1 species
AAGUAAAGUGGGUUAGUGAGAUGAGCUCUUCAAGGUCACCUACUCGAUCUCAAGGAGAGAGAGCACGAAGUUUUGACGGUGAAGCUAAAAGGAUGUGCUGGGCCAAGGCUGAGACCGUACCAGGUCGACAUCCUGAGCGCUGGCGGAAAGAUUCCGCCGGAAACAUUCUCUGCAAACGCCUCUUCAAUUGUCAAGGCUGUCUUUGCUUUGAAUAUGAUCACAUCAUUCCCUUUUCGAAAGGGGGUGAGUCCAUAGCAGAGAAUUGUCAGAUCCUUCAGACAAGGGUGAACCGACUUAAAUCCAAUAAGGAUGAGAUUGAUGUUAGUCGGUUAAAAAGCUACUCCUGUGAUAUCAAGUUCACUGUUAAAGAGCUGGAUGUUAUUGAAAUGGCUGUUUAUGGGGAUGUUCUCCGACCUGGAAAGCAAUGCCGUUGUAGAACUGUUGCUGAAAUGCUAGGCCAAUAUAAAUCAAACGACCGGACUGCUCCCUGCAAGUUACCAUAUGCUGAUGAAUCCUUAUAGAAGGCGGUGAAGGAACCUUACAUUUCUCAGUUGUAUUGUUUGUGCAACUCAUUAAUAUUGUUGUAUUUCAAUGGCUUCAAUUGAAGUUCAAUUGUUUAUGUAGCUCAGCAGCUAAUUGAGUGAAUUGGUGGAUAGAGUGUCGCUUUCUGAACUUAAGUGUGCUGAGUGAGUCCAUGGAAUUUCUCAAGAUAAUGCUCAAGUUAUUUGCAA